rnacentral:tRNA from 1 species
GCGGUGGUAGUUCAGUUGGUUAGAAUACCUGCCUGUCACGCAGGGGGUCGCGAGUUCGAGUCUCGUCCGAUAGUU